rnacentral:misc_RNA from 1 species
AAGUCGUAACAAGGUUUCCGUAGGUGAACCUGCGGAAGGAUCAUUAACUAUUAUAAAGAUACCUUUGUGAAUCGAGCAGACCAAAGUUGAAUAGACUGACGGCUUGCUUGCCGCUUUGGCGGAUAUAUACAUUAAGAGUACAUUAUAAAAUUUACAUAAACAAUUUUUAACAAUGGAUCUCUAGGCUCUU